rnacentral:rRNA from 1 species
GAUGAACGCUGGCGGCGUGCCUAAUACAUGCAAGUCGAGCGAACGGACGAGAAGCUUGCUUCUCUGAUGUUAGCGGCGGACGGGUGAGUAACACGUGGAUAACCUACCUAUAAGACUGGGAUAACUUCGGGAAACCGGAGCUAAUACCGGAUAAUAUUUUGAACCGCAUGGUUCAAAAGUGAAAGACGGUCUUGCUGUCACUUAUAGAUGGAUCCGCGCUGCAUUAGCUAGUUGGUAAGGUAACGGCUUACCAAGGCAACGAUGCAUAGCCGACCUGAGAGGGUGAUCGGCCACACUGGAACUGAGACACGGUCCAGACUCCUACAGGAGGCAGCAGUAGGGAAUCUUCCGCAAAGGGCGAAAGCCUGACGGAGCAACGCCGCGUGAGUGAUGAAGGUCUUCGGAUCGUAAAACUCUGUUAUUAGGGAAGAACAUAUGUGUAAGUAACUGUGCACAUCUUGACGGUACCUAAUCAGAAAGCCACGGCUAACUACGUG